GAGAGGGUGGGAGCGCCGGGCCUGGAGGGAGCAGCCCGGGGGUGGGAGCCGGCCCGUGUCCCGACUUCGUGGCCGCCGAGGAUCGCUCGGGGAUGCGUGAGCCCGCGGCUCGCGGCCCCGCAGCUCCGAGCGGCGUUGGCCAUCCCGGCCUCUAAGGGCCGCCACAUCCCGGCGGCGUGCGCCGGCCGAGGGCUGCUGGCUGCCGGGCGAGGGGGGAGCGGCCGGGGAGGGGCCGGGCGUGCCGGCAGGGGCCGCCCAGGCCGCGCGCCUUCCCCAUCACCGCGGCCGGCGCCGGGCCAGGAUGCGCGGCGACACACUCUGAAGCAUGGAGGGGGUUCUGUACAAGUGGACCAACUAUCUCACAGGUUGGCAGCCUCGCUGGUUUGUUUUGGAUAAUGGAAUCUUGUCCUACUAUGAUUCACAAGAUGAUGUUUGCAAAGGGAGCAAAGGAAGUAUAAAGAUGGCAGUUUGUGAAAUUAAAGGUAGGGGUCAAGAUUAAUUGUUUUCCCCGUAUGGGUAGCCAGUUGACCGAGCACCAUUUAUUGAAAAGAGCAACCUUUUGCCCACUGCACUGAAGGGACAUCUUUGUCACAGAGUGAGUGACCAGGUAUGUUUGGGUCUUUUUCUGGACUCUCGUGUUCCAUGGGUCUGUUUUUCUAUUCUUGUUUAUCUAGUAUCACACUAUUUAAAUUUCUUUAGCUUUAUGCUUCUUCUUAAUAUUUGAUAGUUUAAGUCUUCUAACUUUGUUCUUUUUCAGUAUUGUUGUGGCUGUUAUUGGCCCUUUGCAUUUCCUUGCACGUUUUAGAAUCUGUAAAUUUUCACAAAUCUCUGUUGGAAUUUUGACUGAAAUUACACUGAAUAUAUGUCAAUUUGGGUAGAACUGUAUUCUAUACAAUAUUGAGUCUUUUGAGUUAUUAACAUGGUAUAUUCUUACAAUACAAUCUUUAAUUUCUCUCAGUAAUGUUUUGCAGUUUUAUGUGUAGGCAUUCUGUUCUAUUUUCCCUAGGAACUUGAUACUGUGGGAGCAUUGCUCCUAAGUUUGUUGCCUCCUCAGGUGACUGCUGUGGCCGGGAUAACCCUUGACUGAUACAUCAGUGCUGGUAUAUUUAAAAAUGUGUCCUCUUAUUUUAGUUUCAUAUUAUAGCAACAUUAGAAAUUAGAGGAUUUUUUUUUUAGGGUGGCUAUCAGUGCUUUCAGUAGUAUUAACAAAUAGCAAAAAAAGAGUUGACUCUUGGAGCCUUGGGAUUUCAGCAGUUUUAUCCUAGCCUACAGAUCUUCGGCACCCAUCAUUGAUUGUGGGAUGAUUGUAUAUUGCACUAUCUACAUCCAAGAAUGGCCUGCAUAAGUAGAGUAAGAUAGUAAAACUUUUGUGCCGCUGCCUCUUUGCCACAGUACAAGGAGCAUCUGGUCAGUAGUUCACUAAUCAAGCAUCUAAAUUAGAACUUCUGCCAGAUUUUGUGGGCCUCUCAUAAUUUGGCUCCACUCAGCCUGUCCAUUCAUGAAUAACAUUACUUUGUAAUACAACACAAGGUUCUGUUUAGGCGUGUCUCCUGAUAUCCUCUGUACCUAUUAUGUUUAUUUCCUCAUCAGGCCUUUUCUUGUGCAUUUUUCUCUUAACUAAGUCCUACUGUUGUCAAAUUCUUCCUGCAGCCUUUUUGUUUCCUGCUGCAUCUUACCUUUCUCUAAUUAUAAUUACACACAACGUCUCUG